UUCCGGUUGAUCCUGCCGGAGGUUACUGCUAUCGAGGUUCGACUAAGCCAUGCGAGUCGAAUGUAGCAAUACAUGGCGAACUGCUCAGUAACACGUGGACAACCUGCCCUUAGGUUGGGUAUAAACCCGGGAAACUGGGUAUAAUACCCGAUAGGUCUCGAUUGCUGGAAUGCAUCGAGAUUUAAAGCUCCGGCGCCUAAGGAUGGGUCUGCGGCCUAUCAGGUAGUAGUGGGUGUAGCGUACCUACUAGCCUACGACGGGUACGGGUUGUGAGAGCAAGAGCCCGGAGAUGGAUUCUGAGACACGAAUCCAGGCCCUACGGGGUGCAGCAGGCGCGAAAACUUUACAAUGCUGGCAACAGCGAUAAGGGAACCUCGAGUGCCAGGUUACAAAUCUGGCUGUCGAGAUGCCUAAAAAGCAUUUCAUAGCAAGGGCCGGGCAAGACCGGUGCCAGCCGCCGCGGUAACACCGGCGGCUCGAGUGGUAACCGUUAUUAUUGGGUCUAAAGGGUCUGUAGCCGGCCGGAUAAGUCUCUUGAGAAAUCUGGCAGCUUAACUGUCAGGCUUUCAGGAGAUACUGUCUGGCUCGAGGCCGGGAGAGGUGAGAGGUACUUCAGGGGUAGGGGUGAAAUCUUGUAAUCCUUGAAGGACCACCAGUGGCGAAGGCGUCUCACCAGAACGGACCUGACGGCAAGGGACGAAAGCUAGGGGCACGAACCGGAUUAGAUACCCGGGUAGUCCUAGCCGUAAACGAUACUCGCUAGGUGUCGGCCACGGUGCGACCGUUGUCGGUGCCGUAGGGAAGCCGUGAAGCGAGCCACCUGGGAAGUACGGCCGCAAGGCUGAAACUUAAAGGAAUUGGCGGGGGAGCACCACAACGG
rnacentral:rRNA from 1 species